rnacentral:tRNA from 1 species
GGUGGCUCAGUGGUAGAGCGCUUGCCUUGCAUGCAAGAGGCCCUACGUUCAAUUCCUCAGCACCA